rnacentral:lncRNA from 1 species
UGCUUCCCAAAAUACCUCUUUAAAAAGACGUGAGAGGGAUGCGGAGCCAGUAGGGUAAAGCAUUGGCUUCUGUAUCUUUCAAAUUGUCCCGAGUGAUUCUGAUCCACAGUGAAAACUGAAAACUGUUCUAAUAUUCACCUUGCCGGAAAAAUAAGACUAUGUGAAGUGAACCCUCCUUCAAAUUGGAGAAGGAAGCUUUGAGAUUUCCAGGGAAGAUGGAAGACAGAACAGAAAUGACUGAUUUUGAAGAUUGAGAAUUAGGAAUAUUGUACAGAUGCUGUCAUUCGUACAUGAAGGAGGCAGAAGAAUGUAGCAAGCUCAGCUCUCUAAUGCCAGGAGUGGCGCUUUCAGUGACCAGAGCUCUCUGGGUCCUCUGUGUAUCCCUCCCCUGUCAACUGAUUCAAUAGAGGCUGGGCUGGUCCUGGCAUUAGCACAUUUUUGAAUCUGCCUUUGGCUGUGACUUCACCC